rnacentral:rRNA from 1 species
AGGGUGUAAACGCUGCCGACUUGGUGUUGGAGGCCCUUCGGGGGCAUUCAGUGCCGGAGAGAAGUUGUUAAGUCGGCCACUUGGGAGUACGUCCGCAAGGAUGAAACUUAAAGGAAUUGGCGGGGGAGCACCGCAACGGGAGGAGCGUGCGGUUUAAUUGGAUUCAACACCGGAAACUCACCAAGGGCGACUGUUACAUGAAAGCCAGGCUAAUGACCUUGCUUGAUUUUCAGAGAGGUGGUGCAUGGCGUCAGUGACUGU